rnacentral:misc_RNA from 1 species
GAAAGAGAACGACAGUUUCCAUUUUGAGUAUCUGUUAUUGUUUGAAAGGGAAGAUAAAAAGAUGAGAUCAAAGUUUUCUCUCUUUUUAGGCCGAUGAGAUGCGAAAGUUCUUCAAUCUCCUCUCAUAUGCACGUAAUUGCUUGAUUUCUCCUCUGCAAAACACUGAUCACUACGUCUAAUUCAGUUAUUACGGAUUGCUUUAUCAUAGUUGUUACUUGCUGUACUCCUGUUUUCAUAUGGAGGCCAUCAAGAAGCAAGCUGCUAGGCUUAGAGAGCAAGUUGCCAAGCAACAGCAAGCUGUAUUGAAACAUUUGGGGCAUUUUGGUAAUGAAGCUGUUACUGUUGAUGAAGCUGAAUUUCAGUGUUAUCAACAACUUCAAAAUCUAUACAAUUCCACAAGGUCAGCUAAGCAUUUUCAGAAGAAUAUUGUUCGUAGCAUUGAAGGAUUUGUAUCUGCAAGUUCAAAGCAAAUGGAGAUAGCAAGAAAGUUGGCUGAAGAUUGUUGCAAAUAUGGAGCUGAUAAUCAAUGCACAAAUUCGUAUGUUGCAAGAUCUGUACUUCAAUUUGGUACAUCACAUAAUUUAAUGGAAAAUGAGAGGGAAACUUUCCUUGGAAUCCUUGGUGAUCAGGUUUCUGAGCCUCUUCGGUUAUCAGUAACAGGAGCUCCUUUGGAGGAUGCUCGUCAUUUAACCCAUCGUUACGAAAAACUCCGCCAAGAGGUUGAUGCCCAGGCCGCUGAAGUAUUGAGGCGUCGAUUAAAAACUAGAGAAUCUGAUAUAUCUGCGGAGAAUUGCAUGAAACUUCGAGGUGCAGAAGCAAGGCUGACUGAACUUAAAUCUACAGUUACGGCACUUGGGAAAGAAGCAACUUCUGCCAUGUUGUCAGUUGAAAAUCAGCAGCAACAGAUUACUGUUCAGUGUCUAUUUGCAAUGGUGGAUGCCGAGAGAUGUUAUCAUCAACAUGUUCUUGAUAUUUUAGAUAAGUUACAUGCUGAGGUUUGUAACCAUGCGCCCUGGCUCUGCAAUAUCUCUCUUUCUAUCUCAAUGUAUUUGUGUGUGCACUCAUGUCUAUCUGUUCAUUUAUUUAUAUCUGUGUUUUGUACUCCUGAACUUAUGGCAUUUUUUGAGUGUCAAUAGCAUUCCCUUUAGUCUGCAUUCAAUGUAUGUAUGCAGAAGAUUUAUGACUGUUGCUACUUAAAAUUUUUAUUUUUGGAGUUAGAUGAUAUUGGAGGAGCAAUUAAAUGAUUCUUCAUCACAAUCAGUGACCAUUCAGCAAGAUGUGAACACCCCAUCCGUGCAUCAAGACACUACUUCAAAUGGAUCUGGCGAUCAGAUGCAUAUUAAUCAAAAGGGCACAUUUUUCAUAGCAAAGGUUAUACAUGCAUUUGAUGCUCAAGCAGAAGGGGAGUUGAGUCUAUUUCUGGAUGAUUAUGUCGUGGUUCGUCAGGUGGCUCCAACUGGGUGGUCUGAAGGAGAAUGCAGAGGUAAGGCCGGAUGGUUUCCCUCUGCAUAUAUAGAAAAGCAGGAGAAAGCACCAGCAGACAAGAUUGUUCAAGAAAAUUAAACGUGUUUGCUAAACCAGAUCAUUCCAGGAAAGUUUUGUGAUAAUUUCAUUUUAUGUAAAAUAUAAUAGCAUCACUGAAUGGUGGUUCUUUUGGCGCGUGGUGGUGUGUAAUAAGGUUCUAUAUAUGAAAAAAAAAAUAGAGCUAAUGUGCAGUUUGUAGUUUGUACAUGAAAUUUGAUGUAUCUGUGCAGUAUAUUAUUAUUUUGUUUGAAAAAAAGGAAUUGC